CACUGAGAAGCUAAUAAGGAAAUAGCAUUAGCCUUUUAAGCUAAAGAUGGUGGCCCCAAUCACCCUCAAUGA
rnacentral:tRNA from 1 species